UCUAGGUGACAUACACCGAAUUAGCAACAUUAGCUAGCUGUCACCCAAGAGGCUGCGCCCCUAAUUAUUCAUACAUUUUAACCUCAAAUAAAAAAAAACUAGCCUCCUAAAAAAAUUCACCCCCCUCAGUGAUGUCAUGGAGAUAUGAACUAAACAUACUGACUAGAAAGAUUUUUUGGACCAGACUGUAAAAAGGUUUAAUAAGACUGUGAAAACGGCCUGUUUAACAUGUGAGUCAACGAAGAAUUGCUCCCUUUUGGUACCACCUCGUAGUGGCUGGUAUAUCUGGCUGUGGUUGGGGCUUGGUCAGGAGCCUAUAGGAGAUACAGAAUGAUUCUUGUGUCGAACAGUCACAAGUGGGUUGUGAAUACAGUUCAUGUUUAGUAAUUUAAUGGGCCAAUGUUUUCAUUGGUCAACCACACCUCCACCUUGAUCCCAAAUUGAAACUAGUGAGAAGAUGCUUAGUAAAGGAGAGGUGCAUAGUGUGCAGCGGGACACAGGGUCGGUGUUACAUGGGGUCCUAUGCAGUAUAACCACUAGUAAAGUGACCCGACGCUUGCGUUCCCGUGCUGCCCUUGUUUCUGAAGUGAAUAACUGUACUGCUUUGAACUGCCGUAUUUUCCGCACUAUAAGGCGCACCAAAGUAUAAGCUGCAGCAGCUAAAUUGAAUGAUGUGUACAUAUAUAAGCCGCACUGGACUAUAAGCCGCAGGUGUUUUAAUGUUUAAUUACCAUUAGGGCUGGCCGGAAUGCCAUUUUUCAGGCUUCGAAUACUCGUUGGUUUUUCCGAGCAAAUGUUCGAAUGCUCGUUCCAGAAAAAAACACCAUCAAGAACAACAUUAAUAAUCCCUAUAUACUCCCUAGAACCGAUUUUGACAGUAUCUGCAUAUUUUGUUGAAGAUUUAAUAACUUUUGAAUGUUAAUUAGUAGGCCUAAGUAGGUUGAAGUUCCUUAGUUUUUCCCUGUGAAAGCGAACAGCUGUUGUUCCGUUCCAAAUCAGCUGUGGGGGAGGCGCGGACCGGUCAUAGAGCCCAUAGAGUUAAAAUUGGUGGACUGUAACCUGUAAAAUCCAUAGAUUUAGGAGGUCCCCUAGUGGCCGUUAGCUGUAAAAAUCCAUAGAUUAGCCGCACCGUUAUAUAAGCCGCAGAAUCGAAAAAUGGGAAAAAAGGGGCGGCUUAUAGUCCGAAAAUUACGGUAAUUUUU